rnacentral:rRNA from 1 species
UGGGGAAUCUUCCGCAAUGGACGAAAGUCUGACGGAGCAACGCCGCGUGUAUGAUGAAGGUCUUCGGAUUGUAAAGUACUGUCAUUGGGGAAGAACGGUUUUCUUGAAAAGAUUGAGAAGACAUGACGGUACCCAAGGAGGAAGCCCCGGCUAACUACGUGCCAGCAGCCGCGGUAAUACGUAGGGUGCAAGCGUUAAUCGGAAUUACUGGGCGUAAAGCGUGCGCAGGCGGUUCGGAAAGAAAGGUGUGAAAUCCCAGGGCUUAACCUUGGAACUGCACUUUUAACUACCGGGCUAGAGUACGUCAGAGGGGGGUAGAAUUCCACGUGUAGCAGUGAAAUGCGUAGAGAUGUGGAGGAAUACCGAUGGCGAAGGCAGCCCCCUGGGAUGAUACUGACGCUCAUGCACGAAAGCGUGGGGAGCAAACA